UACAGAGGGUGCGAGCGUUAAUCGGAAUUACUGGGCGUAAAGCGUGCGUAGACGGCUAUCUAAGUCGGGUGUGAAAGCCCCGGGCUCAACCUGGGAAUUGCAUUCGAGACUGAAUAGCUAGGGUGCGGUAGAGGGAAGCGGAAUUUCCGGUGUAGCGGUGAAAUGCGUGGAUAUCGGAAGGAACAUCAGUGGCGAAAGCGGCUUCCUGGACCAGCACCGACGUUCAGGCACGAAAGCGUGGGGAGCAAACAGG
rnacentral:rRNA from 1 species